UAUAAAAGGUACGUUUAGCACUUUUUAAGAUACAAAAUGUAUUGACAUAAUUAUAAGCGUUGCGGUAUAGCAUUUGUGAUGUUAAUUCCGUAUCAGACAAGUAUUGUCGCUUUAAAUGCCACAACCUUUCUAUUUCACACAGUUUAGAGUGAAUGUCAUAAAGCAUCAUUUCAAAUAUCAAAUAUGUAAAUGUCAAAUAUUUUUUUUUGGAAAUGCGACGUAAACCUCAGUUAAUCAGUUGCAAACCUCAGAACUACAAGUAAUGUUUUCGUGGGAACGAUGUUACACAAACACUUAGGUAUUGAAAACUCAGAUGAAAUGCAAGAGACAUUAUCUUUCCUAAUACACUAUUACCCUCUUCAGAGCUACUAGCGGUGCCAAAAAAAUCUAUAGGGGAUCUUUUGGAAGCAUUAAACGCAGACAUAUUUUGAUUGCGGUUGCGAAAUUUGGAAAUGUUAUAGGCAGACAUAUUUUGAUUGAGACUGCGAAACCUGCAACACCCCUGGAGCCCCUUCCCCCACCCACACACGUAUUGGCACUCUCAGUGAAUUCUAUUACAAAAUGUGUUACAUCUCUUCGAAGAUCCUUCAUGAUAUGACAAAAUAGGAAGAAGCUACCAACCAGGUGUUUCUGAUGAGGUUUCCAACUGUUGAUAAUUUAACAUGUAUAGUAAACAAAUUGCAAGAUGGAAAUAAUAAUUAUAGUUUACAUUAUAUAAAGCAGAUAAGAUAAAGUAAUAUAUUUUACAGAAAAUUAUCAACACACAGAGGACAUAGCUACAUUAUGCGGACAAAUAUUACGAUUUGCGGCAGUUCAUUUUAAGUAAGAGUUGACUAUUGACUAAUGACCUAUACUGACAUGAAGCGUUAGCGAGAUCUACAUGUACAUCUCAUUUUUGAAAGCUUGAUCUGGUACGUUGCCACGACUUGUAAAGCCUUGAAAAGUUAACAGGAAAAUUACUAUUGGAAUUGUGAAAAUAAUUCGGAUAUUUUGAAAGUAUGAUAGCGCCUGUGGAGUAUUACAAGAACAAUACUUUAUAGCGAUAAUUUAUAUUACUAAGCACUUUCAGUGAAAUGUCUCAGCGUUUAAGAUGUAUCCAAGAAAGAGGUUAAGAGCGAACACGAGGGUUAGCAAUGAUUCUACUGUUGCACAAACUAGAAGUAAAAUCCAAAUACUCGUCUAUUGCAUGCCUUGUUAAAAACUAGAAACACUGUAAUUCGUUUAAACAAAUUUUGUGUGUUUCAUUGACUGAUUCUUUUAUAAAUAGAUACCAUUCAAAAUAGCUGUUCAUCGUAGAAAUCCCCGAAGGUUUCCAAGUUCACAUCUCCAAACUGUUUGCCUAAGUUCCAAUAGCUUUCUACUGUGUGAAGCAGGGAAUAUCUUUGAAAAAUGACAAAUUUGUCGGAUUUGAAUUUCAGUUACGAUUAUAAUAAAAGCUAUUUUCAUGACAGUUACUACGACGACUAUUACAUUUCCGAAUUAUCAUUCACUAUUAUAGAAAUUGUGCUUUCCCUAAGUGGACUAAUAUUAAACAUUUCCUUAAUUUUUGUAUUAAUUUUGCUGGAAGGAUCCUUGAAAACACAUCUAAAAUUUGUCAUGAGUCUUGCAAUAUCAGAUUUUGUUAUAGCUUUGUUUCAGUUUGCAUCGAUAUUUUACGAUAUUCCAAUGGUUGUGAAGACCUAUAGUGUUCAAAGCAGCCCAUCUUUUAUACGCGUGGCUUUUGUUCUUUUAUAUGUUUUGGCUCAGUAUGCUGGACUCGGAACAAUGUUGGCUAUUUCAGUAGAUAUACUAAUAAAGAUAUGGAAGCCUUUACGAUACAAAAUUCUAAUGUCAAAAGGGCGUGGAAACAUCAUAAUAAUAUGUCUGUGGUUUGUACCACCUGCGGCUUUCAUAUGUAUAUCAUUCUGUCUUCAGGUUUUCAUUCUUGACCAUUCGGUAGACCUAGCAGUUCCCUUAGCAGCACUAUAUUUAGCAAGCGGUUUGUUUUUCGCUCUUUGUGUUUUAUUUUUUGUAGUUUUUGUUAUUCUGUAUAUAUAGUAAUAAUUUGCUCAGUCAGAAACUUCACAAACAGAUGUAUAUCCAGACGGAGAACAAGCAUUAAGAAAGCAGCUGUCACAUUUACUUUCGUACUUUUAACAUAUUUUAUAUGUUUACUGCCUAUGUUAUGGCUGCUUGUACCAAUUCUAGUGUCUAUGGGUUCUCAUACGCAUUCACUUGAAAGGUUAGUGACUUCUUUAUAUAUUGUAAAUACUAUAUGUGAUCCUAUCAUAUACACACUUAGAAUACCCGAUAUAAGAGA